rnacentral:lncRNA from 1 species
CAAACUUGAGCAGACAGGUAGCUUGUCUUGAUCACAGAUGAAUGGAUCUGGCAGAAUUGUAAUAAAAAAAUGAUCUCCAAAACCAAAACCAGACUGAAGACUGUGUCCAUGAAUAAGUGGGAAGUUAUGGAAGAGCAGCUUUGUGGUGAGUAGUUGGCAGCUGGGCUUAAACCAUGACGUGAAGCAUCAUCAGAGAUAUUUCACACUGGUGUGAUGGAGAGGUGAAACAAAGCAUAUGGACUUGGUUGGUGUAUGUAAAACAUAUGAAACAAUUCUA